rnacentral:misc_RNA from 1 species
CCAAACUUGGUCAUUUAGAGGAAGUAAAAGUCGUAACAAGGUUUCCGUAGGUGAACCUGCGGAAGGAUCAUUAAUAAAUAAAAUCAUCAUUUGAUGAGCCUUGUGUGCACUGUAAAAAUGAACGGGGGAAGACUCAGCAGAAGCGCUAAGUUUCUUGCUGGCUUCCCCCGAAAUUUAUACACGCAUUCAAACUUUUUGUAAAAAAAAUUAUUUUAAAAUAAAAUACAACUUUCAACAACGGAUCUCUUGGCUCUCGCAUCGAUGAAGAACGCAGC